rnacentral:rRNA from 1 species
GAUGAACGCUAGCUACAGGCUUAACACAUGCAAGUCGAGGGACCGGCGCACGGGUGAGUAACACGUAUCCCACCUGCCCUUUACUCGGGGAUAGCCUUUCAAAAGAAAGAUUAAUACCCGAUAUAAAGGCUGGGGAUUCGUUCCAUUAGGUUGUUGGUGAGGUAACGGCUCACCAUGCCUUCGAUGGAUAGGGGUUCUGAGAGGAAGGUCCCCCACAUUGGAACUGAGACACGGUCCAAACUCCUACGGGAGGCAGCAGUGAGGAAGAUUGGUUAAUGGGCGGUAGCCUGAACCAGCCAAGUAGCGUGAAGGAUGAAGGCUUAUGGGUCGUAAACUUCUUUUAUAUCAGAAUAUGUAUUAUAUGAAUAAGGAUCUGCUAACACCGUGACAGCAGCCGCGGUAAUUC